GGUAAAGCUAUCCUUGUUUCUCCGUCCUCUUCUUCUUCCGAGAGCGAAACAAUGUUAGUUCGCCACAACUCUCGAUUUGCUGAAAAC
rnacentral:sRNA from 1 species